GGCCUUCAAAAAAAGUGCUUCUGAAGCGUAUUUCGAGGUCUGGAAAAUCGUUAGCAUAAGUGUAUUACGAGGGCUGCUAUAUAUGUAUAUUUCUGAUCUAGGCAACACUAAGUGUUGCCAGGUGCAAUCUGAUAUUUCCAUUGGAAAGUUUGACAUUUUUUAGCAUAACAUCACUCAGAACGUUUUGUCAUUUAAUCGUGAAUUGUUUUAUUUACAGGGAAUUAAAAAAUUCAUCUCGGCCAAAAAAUGUAAUGGACUUGUGAACACUUUCGUGCGAUCAUUUUUCACAACUUUCGACGUGGAUUAUGACGACAAGAGUGCAUCGAUGAACUAAAAUCUUUGUAUGGCUAUUAAACACCAUCCUAUAGCACUAUGAAAAACUGCCGUUGUGCCAGAAAACAUCGAUGCCGUACGUGAACUGAUAAUGCAAGACCGUCAUGUAACAUACCUUCAGAUAGAGGCAUGCCUAUGCAUUUCUCCCACCAGCAUACAUUCGAUAUUGCAUGAACACCUGGCCGUAAAAAAGAUUUGUUCUCGUUGGAUCCCGCACAAUUUGACAAUCGCUCAAAAAAAGGCUCGUGUGGAUUGAUGUAAAGAAAUGCUGAAAAAAUACGAUCGCAGUGCUUCAAAAGACGUUUAUAAGACCGUCACAGGUGACGAAUCAUGGAUCUAUGCGUAUGAGCCCGAAACAAAACAGCAAUCGACCGUGUGGGUGGGUCUUCCAAGACGAGCCAAAUCCAACGAAAAAAAAAAACAUUUUCGUUGAUAAAUAUGCCUAUUUACAUUAUUAGGUCAGAAAUAUAUAUAGCAACCCUCGUAAAACAAAAUUUGCUGAAGAAGCUGAAGACCAUCCCAAAAAGUAUUUAUGAAAAUCCGUUCGAGGAAUGGAAAAAUCGUUGGCAUAAGUGUUUGCUGGAGUUUACUUUGAAGGCGACAAAAUAAAUAUUGAUGAAUAAUUAAUCGGUUGCACCAAAGAUAACAACUCUCUACAAAUAAAAAGUUUGAAAAUUUUUAAAAUAAAGGUAUGUGCACCUUUUGUUUUGCGCCAAUUAAAUGAAGACCAAAACGAACGAGUUAUUGAUGAAAAAAAAACGGAUUUCUCUCAUAAACUUCCUUCUGCCAACGUAUGCGCCGGAACUAUCAACAUGUGACAAUUUACUAUUUCAAAAACAGGAAACCAACAUUAAAGAAGCUUUUUAUGAUGGUAUUCAAACCAUUUAAGUAGCCAUAAGAGUGGUGCUGAACGACAUUCCUAUAAAUGUUAUAAAAUAUCUAUGAAUGUUCUGAUUGAUCGUUUCAAGUGUUGCAGUCUCAUUGAACAAAUUUUAAAUAAAUAAUAAGUUCCAAAAAUAAUAUAAUGUGCAUUUUAUUCUAUAUCCCAAUAGUUCGGUUGUUUUUAGAACACAUUUUCUAUACCGAAUAGUCGCUCAAGACAUUAUGAUCCUUUAAUUUGUAGAAUAAAAUACAGGAUGGCAUACGAAUCAUGCUACAAAAACAAAUCGUUACUAUUUUUUUUUUGUGUAAGUAAUCAAUGUUUUCAUUUAUUUGACAGGUUAUUAUUUAAAUUUUUAAAAAUGAAUGCUUGGGAUGCCGAAAAGAGAGUCUGAAUAGUGCAGCGGCACCAAGCUUUGCAGUCCGUCAUGUUCGUCCAAAGAUAAUUCAGACGAGAUUUUGAUGGCACUCCUCCCGAGUAAAUGAAUCAUUAUUAUGUUGGUAAGCAUGCUUGCCGAAUAUGGAAAUAUCGCAAGAAGUCAUACCAUCGGGAGCCGUAUGUUCGUGUUCAAAAAACAAUCGUGACUGUUGCAUCGUUAAUUCAGGC